GGGUCUUGGGAUACUUGCGGUUAAGUGUCCUUGGGUUUGAAUAGUACUGGGUUGGGUGACCUCCUGGGAAGUCCAAACUUAGGAGCUU
rnacentral:rRNA from 1 species